rnacentral:rRNA from 1 species
AUUGAACGCUGGCGGCAUGCCUUACACAUGCAAGUCGAACGGCAGCACGGGAGCAAUCCUGGUGGCGAGUGGCGAACGGGUGAGUAAUAUAUCGGAACGUGCCCAGUCGUGGGGAUAACGUAGCGAAAGCUACGCUAAUACCGCAUACGAUCUAUGGAUGAAAGCGGGGGAUCGCAAGACCUCGCGCGAUUGGAGCGGCCGAUAUCAGAUUAGGUAGUUGGUGAGGUAAAGGCUCACCAAGCCGACGAUCUGUAGCUGGUCUGAGAGGACGACCAGCCACACUGGGACUGAGACACGGCCCAGACUCCUACGGGAGGCAGCAGUGGGGAAUUUUGGACAAUGGGCGCAAGCCUGAUCCAGCAAUG